UAAAAUCGUGGUCUCCUUUUCUUCCCUGUCUCUCCUGGGGCAAAACAACAUAGAAUAAGAAUACUACAAACCUGGAAUGCAUGGCAUGGAAGUCUUGGAGCUGAGGAACACCCUUCAAGACCAUUUUAACACAUUCCUGCAGACCAAAUGGAGGAAAGGGACAACAUGCAUACAGACAGUGAGACAGACAAACAGAUGGACAGACGGAGGCGCGGGACCAAUGACUUUGUGUUGGGAGGUUGAAAGAGACAGAUAUAAAAGCACCAGUCAAGCACAGGACUGGAUGAGCAAUGCAAUGACUUCAAUAUCAGAGACCCUCAAGCAGUAGAAGCUGGUGGAAGGAAGAAUGGGAGGACGGCUGGGCUCAUUGUGAUCACACCGCCCUCAGCCUAUUGGAUUUCCUGUUAUCAACCUAUUGCCUGAUCUCCCGGACGACGUUACUAUCCUUUUC